AUGGAAAUGAGGAUCCUUUCCCCAAAUGAUCGAAUCUGAUUCAAACUGUGCGACAAGCUCCUAGGAGCCAAGCCAGAAAACUGAUCCAU
rfam:Marchantia polymorpha subsp. polymorpha scaffold725, whole genome shotgun sequence.